rnacentral:rRNA from 1 species
UACGGAGGGUGCCAGCAUUGUUCGGAAUUACUGGGCGUAAAGCGCGUGUAGGUGGUUCGGUAAGUCGAAUGUGAAAGCCCCGGGCUCAACCCGGGAAGUGCAUCCGAAACUGCCGAACUAGAGUCCCGGAGAGGAAGGCAGAAUUCCCAAUGUAGGGGUGAAAUCCGUAGAUAUUGGGAGGAAUACCGGUGGCGAAGGCGGCCUUCUGGACGGUGACUGACAAUCAGACGCGAAAGAGUGGGGAGCAAACAGG